UACAGAGGGUGCGAGCGUUGUUCGGAAUUACUGGGCGUAAAGGGCGCGUAGGCGGCUUUAUAAGUCAGAUGUGAAAGCCCACGGCUUAACCGUGGAAGUGCAUCUGAAACUGUGAGGCUUGAGUAUGGGAGAGGAAAGUGGAAUUCCCGGUGUAGAGGUGAAAUUCGUAGAUAUCGGGAGGAACACCUGUGGCGAAAGCGACUUUCUGGACCAAUACUGACGCUGAGGCGCGAAAGCGUGGGGAGCAAACAGG
rnacentral:rRNA from 1 species